rnacentral:ncRNA from 1 species
AAUAAAUUUUUAUAGUUUUAUUAUUUUAAUUUAAAUUUAAUUUACAUAUAAAUUAUAGUAUUAGUUUUUAAUUUAUUUUAAUAAUUAUUAAAUUUAUUGGUAGUAAUUAAUAUUAAAAAUUUAAGAAAUUAAGAUUUAGUAAUAUUUAUAAAUUAUUAACAAAUUUUGUGCCAGCAGUUGCGGUUAAACAAAAAAUGAUUUAAAAUUUUUCAAUAUAAUAAUAAAUAUUUUAUUUAAGAAAAAAAAAUAAUUAAAUAUUAAGUGAAAUUUUAUUUAAUUAGAAAUUUUUAUUAAAAAUAUGAUUUAAUAAAUUUUUUUUAAAAAACUAGGAUUAGAUACCCUAUUAUUAAAAAUUAAAGAUAUAAUAUUAAAAUAGUAUAUAAUUAUUUAUAAAAACUUAAAUAAUUUGGCGGUAUUUUAGUUCAUUUAGAGGAAUCUGUUUAGUAAUUGAUAAUCCACGAAUAAAUUUACUUAAUUUAAAAUUUUGUAUAUCGUUGUAAAAAAAAUAUUUUUAAAUAAUAUUAAUAUUUUAAAAUUAUAAUAAAAAAUUAAUUCAGAUCAAGAUGCAGAUAAUAAUUAAGUUAAAAAUGGAUUACAAUAAAAAAAAUUAAAUGAAUAAUAAUUUGAAAAAUAUAUUUGAAGGUGGAUUUAAAUGUAAUUUUAUUUAAUUUAAUAAAAUGAUUAAAAAUUAAAAUAUGUACAUAUUGCCCGUCGCUUUCAUUUAAAAAUUGAAAUAAGUCGUAACAAAGUAGGGAUACUGGAAAGUGUUCCUAGAAAUAA